AUACAGAGGGUGCGAGCGUUAAUCGGAAUUACUGGGCGUAAAGCGCGCGUAGGCGGCUACUUAAGUCAGAUGUGAAAUCCCCGGGCUCAACCUGGGAACUGCAUCUGAUACUGGUAAGCUAGAGUUUUGGAGAGGGAAGUAGAAUUUCAGGUGUAGCGGUGAAAUGCAUAGAGAUCUGAAGGAAUACCAGUGGCGAAGGCGACUUCCUGGCCAAAAACUGACGCUGAGGUGCGAAAGCGUGGGUAGCAAACGGGAUUAGAUACCCCAGUAGUCC
rnacentral:rRNA from 1 species